rnacentral:rRNA from 1 species
GGGAAUUUUCCGCAAUGGGCGAAAGCCUGACGGAGCAAUACCGCGUGAGGGAAGACUGCCUAUGGGUUGUAAACCUCUUUUUUCAGGGAGGAAUAAAAUGACGUGUACCUGAAGAAUAAGCAUCGGCUAACUCCGUGCCAGCAGCCGCGGUAAGACGGAGGAUGCAAGUGUUAUCCGGAAUCACUGGGCGUAAAGCGUCUGUAGGUGGUUUAAUAAGUCAACUGUUAAAUCUUGAGGCUCAACUUCAAAAUCGCAGUCGAAACUAUUAGACUAGAGUAUAGUAGAGGUAAAGGGAAUUUCCAGUGGAGCGGUGAAAUGCGUAGAUAUUGGAAAGAACACCGAUGGCGAAAGCACUUUACUGGGCUAUUACUAACACUCAGAGACGAAAGCUAGGGUAGCAAAUGGGAUUAGAUACCCCAGUAGUC